AUAAGAUAACAGGAGAGAAAAGAAAGGGGGGAAGGGCUGCGCUAGCGCAGCCCUUCCCCCCUUUCUUUUCUCUCCUUUAUUUGGACAU
rnacentral:miRNA from 1 species